rnacentral:lncRNA from 1 species
AUGGAGGAAGCGGAUGCCGAUGCAAAAAGAUCAAAACCCCUGUGCGCAAGAAACAAGUGUCCCACUCCCCGGCAGCCGAGCAGGAGGGAGGAAGAGUCGCUCAACAGCAUGUCGGUUGCAGCUCAGACGUGUCUCUCAGCAAAGGAGAUUUUGAAAAAGGGGGACAGCACUGAGAGCAAAAUGGGGAGGCCUGGUGGUACAAUGUGGGGAAAUCUGCCGAAAUGCCCUGAUAACCCGAAAGGCAUCGUACUUGUGAUCUUGUGCCUGGGUGGUCAAAGCGCAUAGAAAUGCUUCAGCUGCCGGUGAAGCAUUUCUAGAUAUGUAUGUCACUGUGUCCCAUGCUGCAUGGGCAUUUCUGUGGUAGGAUUUUGCCUUUUUGUGUCAGCUGUGGCGCUCAUGUUUCUUCCCGCAUGCAUAAACAUGUCCUUAGGAGAGAGUUUCAUUAUCCUGAGGCCUUUAUUACUCUCUGUUUUAUUUAUGCAUUGUCAAUUUCUAAGUCAAUUGUAAUUCUUUCAUAGCCUUAAGCCUAGAAUGGUGUAGUCUUCCAUGUCAUUUUUCCAGAAGAAAUAAAAGUUAAAGAUUUCAGUUUUCAGAACAGAGUAGCUGUUUAUAUGUAUGAUGACUACGGUUGUAAAAACAUCUGAAAAGAAAAAUACACGAACAUGUAAAAACAACCUGAACAGACACAUCACAAUUCAACUACUAAAAAAAGAUGUUGUUAUGAUCAUAUUGUACAAAUUCAUAGAUCAAUAGUCAGCACAAGGUCUGUCGAUAUGAGCCAGGAGCGAUGGACUCCUCAGCAGAGAGGGGGGAGGGGAAUAUUCCCCAAGACCAAACAAUGAUUUUUAUUCACUCACAGGCAAACACAUGUAUCUACACACAUGGGACAACCUUAAAAUUGCUUCAGACACUGAGGCGUAGUGCAUUGAAAAAUUUAAUAAGUGGCCAGUCAGCAGCACCUUGACCCUGAGCACAGGUUUUCAAGUUAGGGGGAUGCCCAUUUUGUGUGCUUCUAUGGAAUCAGCAUUAACAGCAGCAAGGAACAAUAAUGUCAACACAACCUGAAUUCACACAUGUGCGCAUGCACACACACUGACGCACACUACACGCAGAGUCUUUGGUGAAGAUGGUGCAUGGAUGCUUUCCACCCCCUGUUGCGACCGGAGCGAUGUUCCUGGAGUGGGGACAGCGAGAGGGGCAUCCCGCAGUGCUGUUUGGGCGUCCCUGCCAGCACCAGACAACUUCACUAUCCCUGCCCUAGCAGGGGGCGAUAAUCACAUCAAGCUCUCCUGACAAGAGGCAUUGAAUUCAGCUUCGGUCCCCUUAAGAGUCUGGCAUCCAGCAGUCUCUCCUCAACAUGCUGCUGACGUUACAAUGAGAAGGUUUGUGUUUUCAUUUUUUUCACUCUGCGGCAUCGCGCUUCUUUUUUUUUCCCCUCUCUGAAAUGUAUUUAGGAACGAUAUGGGAUUCCAUGUCAAUGGCGAAAAUCUGAAUUGGCAGAAUCAAGUGUUACCGCCAUUGCACUGUGGAAAGUGUUAUUGUAUUGGUGCCUUCAGUUUGUCAUGGUGAAUUCCAAACAAUAAUCAGUUUUUUGUCAGUCUGUCCUGAGAGGUAUUUGUGUAAAGUUUUGGGGGGAAAUUUACUGCUUUUAUGUAUAUCAUUUGGAAGUUCCCUAGAUUAUAUUCUUCCAUUGUCACAAUUGAAAUCGUCAAAGCACAUCAGCGACGUUACCCAGAGUAAAAGGCUAAAGACUGACACAUUAUCACUAUAUUGUCAUAGGUUUUCAUUCAAGGUCUCAACCAUGCUGGGCGGUGGUCAGAAAGAAAAGGAUGCUAUCGCUUUAAGAGAUCCAAUGUAUUCUCCCAAACCACGCUCAAUCAAUUUUUGCCGGCUCCUCUGGUUAGCAGCAGUACUGUAAUAUUUUUUUUUCAGUUUUCAGCUUUUGUUUUUCAAUACUCAUGCUUUCCUUUUAUAGUAUUGUUCACGGAUGUGCUGCACAUGUUGAUGGACAUCUCGUGGUAGCACACUUCAAGGGUUGUGAGAGCCGUUGUUUAUGUUUUGUGAAAAGCCUAGUCGGUACUCGUCUCAUAUAUAUGGCUAUUCUUAGAAAAUGCUGUCCACUCAUCAAGAUUUAAAAUAACAUGGACUAAGCGGGGGCAUACUUUUUUCU